UACGGGGGGGGCAAGCGUUGUUCGGAAUUACUGGGCGUAAAGGGCUCGUAGGCGGCCAACUAAGUCAGACGUGAAAUCCCUCGGCUUAACCGGGGAACUGCAUCUGAUACUGGAUGGCUUGAGUUCGGGAGAGGGAUGCGGAAUUCCAGGUGUAGCGGUGAAAUGCGUAGAUAUCUGGAGGAACACCGGUGGCGAAGGCAGGUCGCUGGGACGUUACUGACGCUGAGACGCGAAAGCGUGGGGAGCAAACAGG
rnacentral:rRNA from 1 species